AAUUUGCCCCCAUAUAAUCCUAUUAGUCUAAAUAUUUAUUAAGCACUUACUGUAUACCAAGUGCAGUGCAAAACCCUAAGGAUUAAAAGAAAAGUGCCCAGGUCUCUCCAUCAGCAUCAUGGUGGCUGGCAGCUAGGGAAACCCUAAAAGGAAACCACUGGGCUGUGAAUGUGAAGUGGCAUCUUAACAACCAUCCUUGUUUCCCUUUCUUUUCCCAGGGUCAGUGUGGUGACUACCCCCACCGGGGUGAACAGGGACAAGCAGGCAUCCAAGGCCCCCCUGGGCCACCUGGUCCCCCUGGACCUGCUGGACCUAUUGGACCUCUGGGUAACCCAGGAGAGCCAGGGCCCAUGGGACCACCUGGCAGAGCAGGAGAGCCAGGGAAGCCAGGCAAGGAUGGAAAGGUAUGUAUUUAUGCUUCUGUUUGGGGCCUCUCUGCCAACCUGGUGGCACUGGUGUAUGGUCAUUGUAGCACUUGGAAGGAACCCAUUGGUUGAGCCAAAGGAGAACAAGUAAGGCACAAGCGCCAUUGGUCCAGAGGUGAUCCAAUGUAGAGGUCAUUUAGGCCAUUCUCCUGCCUCCAGAUGGAGUUUCAUCCCAACUACAGCUCAAAUAGGAGCAUCACUAUGAUCAUAUGUUUCUGAAGCCCACUCACUGCAAGUCACAUUCUUACAAUUAAAUACUGGUAUGGGAAAAGAAUAUGGAUGGUUCUUGUGAAAGAUGGGAGGGUGCUGGCCUUGGAAGCUGGAAACUAGGAUUCAAAUCCCAGCUCUGUCAUUUACUCUAUGAGACCAUAGGCAAUGGUCGCAUUUAACUGCUCUGAGCCUCAGUUUCCCCAGCUGCCCAAUAGGAAUGAUACUAAACAGGGCUGCAUUUUUUCCAACCUGGAAGUGCUCUAGAAUUCAGACUAGACCUAUUAUUGUGAAAGAUGCAACAGUCUAACCUAGUUCAACCCCAAGGACCAUUGAUUUUAUAAAGUUCCAGGGCCAGAGCAGAUCACCGUACCCAUCUGAGUCCGCAAGAGCCCAUCUUUCCUUUGGAUCCCGUCCUCCUUUCUUGCCCCACAUGACUCCAAGCAUAAUCAGCAUUAUUAUCCUCUCCCAAAUCCCCUGCUUGUCCCUUGGAAGCGUCCUUCACCCGAGAGAGAAUGCAGCCAUCCCUUCCAGGAGGUAGGAAUAGCUGCCAAAUCAGGGGCCCUCAGGGACUUGAAUGCAUUCAGAAAUAGCUUCAGGAAGCCUGAGCUGCUGGAAGAAGUUGGUUUUUGGGAAGGGAUCUGAACUUGGAGACAGGCAGGGUUGGGAAGAAGGAGGCUGUGGGGAGGAGAACUGUGGACUUGGAC
rnacentral:lncRNA from 1 species